rnacentral:rRNA from 1 species
GCCAGACUCCUACGGGAGGCAGCAGUGAGGGAUAUUGGUCAAUGGGCUUACGCCUGAACCAGCCAAGUCGCGUGAGGGAAGACUGCCCUAUGGGUUGUAAACCUCUUUUGUCAGGGAGCAAUUGGCGCUACGUGUAGCGUUAUCGAGAGUACCUGAAGAAAAAGCAUCGGCUAACUCCGUGCCAGCAGCCGCGGUAAUACGGAGGAUGCGAGCGUUAUCCGGAUUUAUUGGGUUUAAAGGGUGCGCAGGCGGGAGAUCAAGUCAGCGGUAAAAUGUCGGGGCUCAACCCCGGCCGGCCGUUGAAACUGGUUUUCUAGAGUUGGAGAGAAGUAUGCGGAAUUCGUGGUGUAGCGGUGAAAUGCAUAGAUAUCACGAAGAACUCCGAUUGCGAAGGCAGCAUACCGGCUCCAUACUGACGCUGAGGCACGAAAGCGUGGGGAUCGAACAGGAUUAGAUACCCCCGUACA